rnacentral:rRNA from 1 species
UAAGCAUAUCAAUAAGCGGAGGAAAAGAAACCAACAGGGAUUGCCUCAGUAACGGCGAGUGAAGCGGCAAAAGCUCAGAUUUGAAAUCUCUUUUUUUGAAAAAGCGAAUUGUAAUCUGUAGAAGGUUGAAUGGCUGAAUAUUCUGAUGUAAAUUCCCUGGAAUGGGAUAUCAUAGAGGGUGAGAAUCCCGUGAUCUUCAGAGACUAAGCCAAUUAAUUCACCUUUCGACGAGUCGAGUUGUUUGGGAAUGCAGCUCUAAAUGGGUGGUAAAUUUCAUCUAAAGCUAAAUACCUGCCAGAGACCGAUAGCGAACAAGUAGAGUGAUCGAAAGAUGAAAAGCACUUUGAAAAGAGAGUUAAAAAGUACGUGAAAUUGCUGAAAGGGAAGCGCUUGAGAUUAGACUUGAUAUUCAGAUUCGGCCAGUCUUUGGACUCGGUUUAUUUUCUAUUUAUCAGGCCAGCAUCAGUUUGGUGGGGUCUAUAAAGGCAGUCGGAAUGUAGUUACCACCUCGGUGGUCAUGUUAUAGCCUUCUGUGUCAUAUAUCCACACCAGACUGAGGUCUGCUCUUCGGAAAGGAUGCUGGCAUAAUGAUCCUAAGCGACCCGUCUUGAA